rnacentral:lncRNA from 1 species
AGAUAGUGUAACAGGAGUCCACUUAAUGCUUUGAAUACAACUCUUACUGCUCUUGACACUGCAACUUAUUUUUAAAAUGGUCUUGUUUUUUUCUCUUCCUCUCUCCUUGCUUCUCCCUAAUCUCUCUCCCACCCUAAUCUCAGGGAAAAUAUGAUUACCUUUCUUCCCCAUCCUAGGCAGAGUUAUUGGUCCCUGAGUACACACCCACCAUAGGAAAGAAGUAAUCCAAACUUUGGGGAUGGUACCAGAAGAUCUCAGAAACUCCCCAAAAUUAACAAGUGAAUUACAGCUCCAACAGAGAACACAUGGAACAUAGCCUUUGAGUCACCUCUUAAAAAGUUCCCUGUUCCUGCUGAUGGGCAGAAUCACAGCCUCUGGGACAGGACUCCUUGGUGUUUCUCCUUUGCUAGCAAAGCAAUAAACCUUUUUCCUUUUUCUCAAAACUGUGUCUUUGUUAUUGGAUUGGCAUCAAGGACAAGGACUGAGCUUUCAGCAAAACUGCCAGGUGUUUAAGACCAAGUUGGUCAAACUGACUCGUUGUUUGCUCCUACAGUCAGCUGAGAUUCCUCAGAGAUCACCCUUGUGUACAUGUGCAAAGCAUCCUGGCUCCUUUAGCUUUUCUUUACCAGUGGUGCCGCUUGCCAGGAUGGGUUGGGGUUUCCUAUAUGGACAUUUAAAAGGAAAAACUUUUUUUUAAUGUAAUGUAAAAUGUACACUUGUGUCAGGCCUACCAAAAGUAAGUAAAGCUGAAGGCUACAAAGGAAGGGUUCUUGAGUGAGAGUGCCUAACAAUAAUGAUCACAAGAAUCACAAAUUUGUCCUGAGUUAAUUUGAGCCUGAUUUCAUAGACUUACAAAUUUCCUAAUCUCCCACAUUGAUGAACUUGGUCUGUUUUAUUGAUAAGAUUAUGAGUUCCUGUCCUUAUGGUUUUCAGAGACUGGCUGAAAUACUGUUUUUUGUGCUAAUUAUUUGAAAAAAAAAAAAAAGUAAUGCUUUGCUGUCUUUAUUGUUGUCUUAGGAUGAUCCCUGCCCUAUGAAUGCCUUGUCCAGUCACCUGCCAUCUUCCACUGUGUACCUCAGGACUGCUCGGAUGCUGAAUGCCCUUAACUGUCCACACCCCACCUGAUAGAGAACAAGAACUUUGGGUUACUUCCCCCAACUUUGCUCCUUUUCAGCAGGAAGCAGUUUGGAGAUGUUAUCACCCAUUUUUCCAUAUAAGUGGACUAUAGAAAGCUGGGCAUGGUGGCACAUGCCUAUGUAAUCCUAACAGCUCAGGAGGCUGAGACAGCAGGAUCAUGAGUUCAAAGCCAGCCUCAGCAACUUGGUGACCCCUUGUCUCUAAUAAAACAUAAAAAAGGACUGGGGAUGUGGCCUGGUGAUUAAGUGCCCCUGGGUUCAAUCCCUGGUAUGAAAAAAGAAAUUUAAUAUAGAAAUUGACAGUGGCAACACUUCUCUGAAGAGAAGGGGCCCCAGAACUGGGUAUCUGAGGAAGUGGGGGUGUCCUUCUCCUUUUAUACAUUUUAGAUUUCCUUUGUUCUCAUGCUAUCCCCCAUCGUGCCUAGAUGGCCCAAAAAGUGGAGUGGAAUGAUCCACGGGUGGGGAAGGAGCCUUACAGGGGUACAGGCAGAAAGGAAGCAUCCCAGGGGGCAUUAAUUAACAACUCUUUGUAGGGAGGAACAAUUCUCUGGAAACAAGUAACCCUGGCAACAGGUAACCCUGGCAACAGGUGGGGGAAAAGGAAGUACUUUAGAGGUAUUAAUAUUUCAUUCCCUUUUGGGUAGGUUGUGGCUUAGUGGUAAAAUGCUUGCCUAGCAUGCCUAAGGCACUAUGUUCAUCCCUGGCACCACAUAAAAAUAAACAAAUAAAAU